rnacentral:rRNA from 5 species
AAAUUGAAGAGUUUGAUCAUGGCUCAGAUUGAACGCUGGCGGCAGGCCUAACACAUGCAAGUCGAACGGUAACAGGAAACAGCUUGCUGUUUCGCUGACGAGUGGCGGACGGGUGAGUAAUGUCUGGGAAACUGCCCGAUGGAGGGGGAUAACUACUGGAAACGGUAGCUAAUACCGCAUAACGUCGCAAGACCAAAGAGGGGGACCUUCGGGCCUCUUGCCAUCGGAUGUGCCCAGAUGGGAUUAGCUAGUAGGUGGGGUAACGGCUCACCUAGGCGACGAUCCCUAGCUGGUCUGAGAGGAUGACCAGCCACACUGGAACUGAGACACGGUCCAGACUCCUACGGGAGGCAGCAGUGGGGAAUAUUGCACAAUGGGCGCAAGCCUGAUGCAGCCAUGCCGCGUGUAUGAAGAAGGCCUUCGGGUUGUAAAGUACUUUCAGCGGGGAGGAAGGGAGUAAAGUUAAUACCUUUGCUCAUUGACGUUACCCGCAGAAGAAGCACCGGCUAACUCCGUGCCAGCAGCCGCGGUAAUACGGAGGGUGCAAGCGUUAAUCGGAAUUACUGGGCGUAAAGCGCACGCAGGCGGUUUGUUAAGUCAGAUGUGAAAUCCCCGGGCUCAACCUGGGAACUGCAUCUGAUACUGGCAAGCUUGAGUCUCGUAGAGGGGGGUAGAAUUCCAGGUGUAGCGGUGAAAUGCGUAGAGAUCUGGAGGAAUACCGGUGGCGAAGGCGGCCCCCUGGACGAAGACUGACGCUCAGGUGCGAAAGCGUGGGGAGCAAACAGGAUUAGAUACCCUGGUAGUCCACGCCGUAAACGAUGUCGACUUGGAGGUUGUGCCCUUGAGGCGUGGCUUCCGGAGCUAACGCGUUAAGUCGACCGCCUGGGGAGUACGGCCGCAAGGUUAAAACUCAAAUGAAUUGACGGGGGCCCGCACAAGCGGUGGAGCAUGUGGUUUAAUUCGAUGCAACGCGAAGAACCUUACCUGGUCUUGACAUCCACGGAAGUUUUCAGAGAUGAGAAUGUGCCUUCGGGAACCGUGAGACAGGUGCUGCAUGGCUGUCGUCAGCUCGUGUUGUGAAAUGUUGGGUUAAGUCCCGCAACGAGCGCAACCCUUAUCCUUUGUUGCCAGCGGUCCGGCCGGGAACUCAAAGGAGACUGCCAGUGAUAAACUGGAGGAAGGUGGGGAUGACGUCAAGUCAUCAUGGCCCUUACGACCAGGGCUACACACGUGCUACAAUGGCGCAUACAAAGAGAAGCGACCUCGCGAGAGCAAGCGGACCUCAUAAAGUGCGUCGUAGUCCGGAUUGGAGUCUGCAACUCGACUCCAUGAAGUCGGAAUCGCUAGUAAUCGUGGAUCAGAAUGCCACGGUGAAUACGUUCCCGGGCCUUGUACACACCGCCCGUCACACCAUGGGAGUGGGUUGCAAAAGAAGUAGGUAGCUUAACCUUCGGGAGGGCGCUUACCACUUUGUGAUUCAUGACUGGGGUGAAGUCGUAACAAGGUAACCGUAGGGGAACCUGCGGUUGGAUCACCUCCUUA